UACGAAGGGGGCUAGCGUUGUUCGGAAUUACUGGGCGUAAAGCGCGCGCAGGCGGUCUUCCAAGUCAGUGGUGAAAGCCCGGAGCUCAACUCCGGAACUGCCAUUGAAACUGUUAGACUUGAGGAUGAGAGAGGUGAGUGGAAUUCCCAGUGUAGAGGUGAAAAUUCGUAGAUAUUUGGGAAGAACACCGGUGGCGAAGGCGGCUCACUGGCUCAUUACUGACGCUCAGGCGCGAUAGCGUGGGGAUCAAACAGG
rnacentral:rRNA from 1 species